rnacentral:tRNA from 1 species
GCCGGAGUGGCGGAAUGGUAGACGCAGCGGACUCAAAAUCCGCCGAGGGCAACCUUGUGGGGGUUCAAAUCCCCCCUCCGGCACCA